rnacentral:tRNA from 1 species
AGCGGGAUAGAGCAGUGGAAGCUCGCAUGGUUCAUUAGCCGUGAGGUCGCUCGGUUCGAAUCCGGCUCCCGCUUCCA